AGAAAUCUGUGCCUCCACAGGUUUCACAUUCAAGAGGAGGUAAAUCUUCAUCCAUUCUUAUUUAGAUCCCUUGCAUAAUAUGGAUAAAUGUUUGAUUAUUUACAAGUUUGAGUUUUUGGAUCAUGCACCAAAACCAAACAGGUUGACAAAUGAAAAAUACAUUACAUAACCCUAACGUCCCGAACGGCCAAAUAGUUUGCUUGUAAACAACACUCAGCUGAUUAAAGUCAAGCUUAGGGAUGGUAACACAAAGCAACCACAAAUUUGUGGUUGCUUUGUGGAUGGUAAAGAUCAAGCAAGAAGACCGGAGGGAGGAGAAAUAUCUUACCUGUGCUGUGUGGGCCAAAUCCUAUCAGGCAAGAGGCAAGUUCGCUACCACCACAAAGCUGUUCUCGGACCGGCGCGGCGUUUGAUAGAGAUGGGAUUUUUAGUUCAUUUACGUGAACUAGUUCACUCGAUCACGUUUACUUUUAUAGUAGAAUAACUAGAAUGUACAAUUUUAACCUUCUAAAAAUUAUUCGAAUGAAAAAGUUCAGACUUUUAGAUGUUUAAUUCGUCAAUUCAAAUAAAUUUAAACAACUGAAUAAAU